CCCAUAAACAGCAAACAUCAUACAUAAAACAGCCUUAUCUCUAUUUUGAAGUAUAAGAAGUGGAGAAGCUCGUCGAGUAAGAAAUAACGUGAACUAUUAAAUUUAAAGAAAAAAUAAAAGUCUUUCGUCAGCUUAAUUGCUUGGAGAUCCCAUUAAGGAGCAUAAAAUGGACGGCAAGAAAACACCUAUGGAUCAACCUGCAAAGGCAAGAAUCAUGGCCGCUCAGGCCAAAACAAACGAUGGGCGAAUAGAAAAGGGAACUUUUGCUUCAAGAGCGCAGUCAGCUGCCGAUAAAAAUGACCCAAAAUAAAAAUCUGGCAAUAAUUUACGUAACCAAACUGACAGCAAUUUCUCGGAUAUAAUAUACUCUCUUUUAGUUUUGGAUUUUGUAGCAUUGUUGUGUACUUAUGUCAAAUGUAAUGUGGGAUAAUGGACAAUUUGUUUGCAUUAAAUAGUUAAGAUAUAA